UCCAGUGGUAGUCAGCUGUCUGUGUCAGUACCGUGUCUUUGACAGUGUUACACUGCUGGGAGAUCAAGGUGCUGUCUGUUUGAACCUGCUUGUCAUUGUCACCGUUCUGGAGGCAGUUGGUAGCAGGUGAGGGCAAUGCUGUGCUUCUCUGAGAGUGUGCUGAGCAGUUCUCAUCCUGCUCAGCACUAGAAUGGAAGCAUACACA